AGAUGAGGGGUCCAGGAGUAGUACCAGAGAGAUGAUGAUGACGGCGGAGGAGGGGAAGGAGGACGAGGCGUUGCACGCUGGCAACCUUAGAAUCGACCUUCGCAAAAUCCCUCUCUAACUUUUCAAAAUUUACAAAUUUAAUUUAAUAUUUAUCUCAUUUAUCAUAAAGUCCCUAUUAAAUUUUAAAAAUAACCAAAACAUUAAGUAUUUUUCUUUAACUUCCAACCCACAAAGAAAUUGUUAUUUUGAGAUUUGUUGCACGCUAACUCUCCUCACACAAAAAAAAAAAUAUAGAAAUUAUUUUAUCUUAUUGAGUUUAUCAAAAUGAUUUUUCUUCAAUGAAUCUUAUGACACUUAAAAUUCAAUUUGAUGUUUACAUUACAUAGGUGGGUUCUAAUAACAAAUUUUCAAAAUUGAAAGAGAUUGAUAGGCUAACAAGAAAAAUAGUUGAUACUAAAAAAGAUAAAUUGUAUUAAUUGAUUUAUUUAUGGAUAACAUUAGCAUUGAUUUUACUAGUUGUCAUGACGACAGUAGUAAAAUGCAUUUUCAACUAUGGAUUUUGUGAAAAAUCUUCUGUGAAAUCAAAUUAGAGAUUAAUAAUUGAGUAAUAUUAUUGUUGCACACGUAGAAAAAGAUUUAUUUUGUAUUCUUGAUGAUAAGUUUAUUUUUUAACGUUUUUAACAUAUGAAAACAUGUCGAGAUCAAUUAUAAAUGUAUUGAAUAUAUUAAUGAAUUUUUAUUUUUGAUACUUGUUACUUAUUGACCUUUUUUAGAUUAUAUUAUUAUUUAAACUUAGCCCUUAUUAAGAUAAAUUUCUGACACCGCCACUACUUUGAACUCUAUCAUAAUAGAAUUAUUAAGGAGAGGAACAACCUUCAGACUGUAUCAUGAUAAAAUUAUUAAGAAAAGUCUCAAUCGAUAGAAGAGUUAUGAUCAAUUUCUAAGUAUAAAUAUCAUUAGAUCUCUAAUUGUAAUAUAUCAAAAUAUUAAAAAAAAAAAACUAUUUGCAACAUCAUUAUUCUUAUUCUAAUAUCAUGUUUGGAUUUUACCAAAUAAAACUCAAACUCUUCAAAGCGCACAUCUCAAACUACUACAAUUAUAACUACUUUUUUGAAUUAAAUAAAUAUCAUUAAUCUAAAGUUCUCCUAGUUCGAGGAUCCAAAAACGAACACUACGAAUUCACUGUAAAUUGGGUUUGGGAUCUUGAAUGACUGUGAAAGUUGGAAUGCAUUUUUUUUUAAUUUUUGUGCAUUUUUUUGGAGAGAGAAAUUGUUGUUUAAAUAAAGAUUAUCUUCAGAAUUAAAGUGAGUGCUGAUAGCAGCAAGUGAUUUUAUAGUAUAAUUUAAUAGUGUUUACUUAAAAAAGGGUAACAAUAGGAUUUUAGAGAUGUGACAAUCCUUUAGCAAACUUAUCAUUUAUGUAAUAUUAAUAUAAAACUACAUCUUUCAAGCACUGCAUUGAAACAUAAUCACAGACUGCGCUUAUGGUCUUACAAAAACAUGUGCUACGUACUAGCAAGAUGUUAUUAUUGUUACUAUACAUUGCGGUUCCAUGCAUGCUUGUUGAAUAAUUUAUGGAUGACUUGGCUGUGGACCUCUCGGAGGUAGUGGUUGAGCCGGUGGAUGAUCAGUCACACGACCGUAUGGAUGUUCAUUUACGUGACCGUAUGGAUGCGGAAGAGCAAAGGAUGGUUGCAAAAGAAGAAGCAUUAUUAUGCAGCAUAACUCCAAAAGAAACCAAAGCAGACUGUUCAGCUUCAUCUCAUUUCUCAUUUUAAUUGCCCUCUUACCACAUAGAGUUUUCUAAAGAUGUAUACAAAAUUAUUAGAUGAAUGAGAAGAUAUAAGUUAUUAUAUAGGCCCCUUUCCUUCAACCAUUUUCCAGUCAAAAAAUUAUAAAAAACAAACGCAAAUAAGUCAAGUCAAUUUUCAUCUUGAACAAGUCGAAUGCAUAUAUAUUUUUUCCGAUAUUCCUAUCCUAAGUGUGAAUCCAUAAAAGAAGUUGCUGACUUAAUUUUCUUGUUUCUCACUUUAUUUAAUUUUUAUAAAUUUGUCUCACGAUCAAUUAAUUGAAGAGUUUGGUGGAAAUUCAAUUUACUAUAAUCAGAUCAAUGUAAUUUAAUUAUUUUUCUAUUUACUUGAUGUCAGGAAAAUUAUGAAUACUUUGUAGAAUUUAAAGGAUUAAAAAUUCUAAUGCAUAUAAUUUUAUUUUUCAAACUGAAUAAACAUAUCAUUAUUGCUUCUUAGAACCUAUUACUUGUAUUUUAUGUUUCUGUCUCUUUUCAUAAUUUUUUUUUUUUUUUACUUUUUCUUUCAUUUUCCCGACUCCCAAACAUCACUAAUCCUUGAUUUUUUUUGGAGUAUUAACUGCUUGUUCCUCCAAACAUCGACCAACUGUUAGUCUAAUCACUAUCAAGAGACAACGUAUUCUGUAGCGGGGUUUUUCAUUUAUUGUCUUGUUACUUCUGAACGGGACUAAUUAAACCUUUUCAUAGGAAAGUACCAUCCAUUAUACACUUAUUUUGCUUUUCAUUGAAAAUGUUAAUAAUCAUAAUAAAUUAGAUUGAAUUAAUAAUUUUUGCCUCUGUGAUAUAAAUAAUCGGUUUAUUGGAUUUUCUUCUCUUUCAUUGAUUUUGCAACUGUGACUUCUGAGUCGGGUUAAGGAUUGACAAAAACGUUGUAACCCACAAAGCACGCAUAAUUAAUUAAUGGGCCACUAAUUUCUUCUUUCUUAAAAGAUUUUUUUUUGCAGGGAGACUGAACAAAAGACUAAUUCUUGGUAAAGAUCAGAAUCAAAUGGGUAUCCAUCACAAAUACAAGUCAAGCCACACAAUUUUUCUUGUUAUACUACUUAUUGGCACUUGUGAUCCUUGAAUUAUCGAACGAAUAGUAAGAACACUUCAACAUCCGUCGUUAUAAGGACAGCAAUUCGUCCUCUCUUUGAUGUAAUACUUGGGCAAUGUACAUUGACUUUUCAUUAAAACAAGCAUUGUCCAAUUAAUUUGCAAGUGGACUUUCCCACAAGAUAUAAGGGUGGGCAUAAACCGGUUCGGUUCGGACAGAACCAAACCGAAACCGAAAUAAAAUAAAAUAAAUUAUUUUGAUUCAGUUCUGUUUGGUUUGGUUUAUAUUAGGAAUUUUAAUAACUUUUCUUUUAUAUUUACUAAAUUUUUGGACUUUUCACCUUAAUUUUUUUUCUUAAUUCAAUUCAAUUGUAACCAUUACAAUUCAUGAUUUAUACAAAAUAUUAAUUUAAAAUAAUUUUAUAAUAAAUAAAUUUUGUUAUUUAUGGAAAAAUAAACUUUUUUUAUUUUAAGCAUUGAACCAAUUUCUUCAAUUCGGUUCAUUUUAAACCAAAUUGAAUAAGAACCUUUCGAUUCUUGAAUUUCUCAACCAUUUGGUUAAUUGAACCACUAUUACAUCAUCUGCUCUAAUGUCUCCCCGAAUUGGGAGAGCUUGCGUUGCAAUUAGGGGAGACAUUAGAAAUCGACACAAUAAGAAAUUGUUCUGAAACUGGGUAUUGUAUUUAAAAUUCUACGGUGAACUGAGUGUUGUAUUUAAAAUUCUACGGUACUUAGAAGCUACUGGCCUUUAGUCUUUUGUCAUUAAUUAUUACUUGUUAGAAAAAUUCAGAUGCAGUAUUGUAUUUAAAAUUCCACGGUACUUACAGGCUAUGGCUAGCUAGCUGUUGGUCUUUUUUUUUUUUUUGAUUACAUGAGACUAUUGCUCAGAUUACAACUCAUAUACAUGAGACUAUAACUGAUAUUUACAAAUCAGACUAUUACUGGGACCAACUUACAUCAUUGCUAAUGGAGCUCUGCCCAGAUUUUAACCCUCACAAAUAUUCGAGGGAUGUCUAUUCCUCACUCAUGAGUAAGGAAGAAGACUACCUUCACUCAAAUGAAUUGAGGAAGAAAAUACCCCCACAAUGCUUUUGUGGGGGUUCGAACUGCUGCCCUCCAAGUUGGAGGGCAGCGGCCCUGGCCACUCGGGCUGAGCCGAGUGGUUCUAGCCGUUGGUCUUUUGUUAGUAAUUAUUGCUUGUUAGAAGGUAAAUGCUAAGUUACAUUUAAUAUAACUUACAACACAGACAUGAACAUUAUUUUUUUAAUUAUUUAUAUUUUGAAAAUUUAAUCAUAAAAAUUAUAUUAAAAAAUUUAAUUAUAAAUAUGUGUAAGUUAAAGUUUUUACUGUGACCUAAUUUUCUUAAUUAUCAAUCAUAACCUAACUUACUUCAGCUACAUGCCCCGCUCCUUAUAUACAUACAUAUAUAGAGGACCAAUUAUCUCAACUACUUAGCAACUGAUGAUCUAACAACCAUUUUUUAUAGAGCUUCUCAUGUAGUGCUCUUUACUUCUUAGAAAUAGCUUCCUCUGUUGGUCGCCUCGUAGGCUAUUUACCCCUCAAACCUACCGAGACAUUCCCUUUUGGUUUUGGACCCCAUGACCUCAAUAAUGGGAAUCGCCUCUUGGAACAGGCCUCACAUCCCUAUAUAUAUAUAGGGUUCCUCUAUGAUGCUGUAAAUUUUUUUACAGCAUCAAUAAUGUAUUAAUUGUGAACCAUUAGAUCUAAUCAAUGGUAUACAAUAUUUGUACUAAAAAAAUAAUUUAAAAAUAAUGGUAACCGUUCAAGUGGGUAGAUAAUUUUUGUAAAAUAAUUGUGACCACCCUUAGAGUUUGAAACAAUUUCACUUAAAUAGUAUAUUUUAUUUAAAAUUACUUUUCAGCCCUCCUUUAAAUUUGUAAUAUGAUAAUUUCUUUUAAAUAAAUCUUCCAAAAUCAGUUACCAUUAAGUAUAAAAUAUAAUAUCAGGUAGGCUAUUUAACACAAAGUCUUGUAAUAAUUUGUAUUGUAUGAAUUUAAUUACAAACCAUUAAUACCUAAACAAUAAUGAUAAUAGAAAGUAUUGCAAUAAACUAUUUUAUAUGUGUUUUAUUAAUAAUACUACAUGAGUCACAACAAAUGAGAAAUAUUUUAUUCACCAAUUAUUAUUGAAAAAUAUAUAUGUCUAUAUAACUAUAGAGUGAGAAAUAUUUUGAUUUAAAUUUUUAUCAAAAAAUUAAACUAUUUAUUUCAUGCUAUUCAAUGGUGGAGGAUAUAACAUUAUGAAAUGAUGCUUUGACUUUCAAUAUCAACCAUUAGAAUAUAAGAUAUUAGUGGCUCAAAUACUGUGCCAAAAUUUUAAGUUAAAGUAUCACAAACCAUAUCUUUAUAAUGGAAAUAUAAAAACAAACAAUGAUUUUUUUCCUCAUUUUGUCCAUUAAAUAUUAUUUGAUGUAAUAUUUUAUUUAUUGUCACUAUUAAUUAUCAUAAUAAAAGUAAUGACUCUUCGUAGCAUAUAAAUUUUAUAAUUACUAUCAAAGAAUAACAAUAAAAUAAUCUUUCAUGAUUCAUAAACUAAAGUUAAUUAGGAAUAUGUGUUAGAUUUAACUUUUAUGAAAUUAAAAAAGUGACAUUUGAAAAUAAAAUAAAAACAGGCUUGUGAAAGUUAAGUUUUAUAAGGCUGAGAUAAUUUCCUACCAUGUCAAUAAAAAUCUAAAAAUAUAAAUGAUUUUCUUUCAAUUUUUUUCCCACGUAAAUAUUAUUGAAGGCAAUAUUAUAUUUAUUGUCACUAUUAACUAUCAUAACAAAAGUAAUGACUCUUCAUAACAUAAAAUUUUAUAAUUACAAUCAAAGGAUAUCAAUAAAAUAAUCUUUUACGAUUCAUAAACUAAAGCUCAUUAGGAAUAUAUAUUCGAUUUAACUUUUAUGAAAUUAACAAAGUGAUAUUUGAAAAUAAAAUGAAAAUAUAUAAGCUUAUAAAACUUAAAACUCCUAACAUGUAAGGAUAUUAACUGUAAGAUAAAUAUAAAGUUAAGAAAAUAAGUAUGUUAAAUGGGUAUUAAAAAUAAUACAUACUUCAUGAUCAAUUAUACAAUGACCCUUACUAUUGUAUAAAAUAAUGAGUAUUUUAAUAUACGAUAUUAAAUUUUAUUAAAACAUGUGUGAUCAAGUAAUUUUUAUGUUACAAGCAAUCUCAACAAUGAGUUUAUUGAUGUAACUAUGACAUUUACUUAAGUAUAUGUAUUUAGUUGUGUUAUUUAUUAGUGUUAUAUCAUAUAUAAAUUUUGCAAUUGCAACUUAUUUAUUUGAUUUGUGUUAAAUAACCUACCAUUAUAUUUUAUACUUAAUGGUAAUAGAUUUUAGAAGAUUUAUUUAAAAAAAAAUUAUCACAUUUCAAAUUUAAAGGGGGAUUGAAAAAUAAUUUUAAAUAAAAUAUGCUAUUUAAGUGAAAUUAUUUCAAACUCUAAGGGUGGUCAUAGUUAUUUUACAAACUUCUCCGCCCCUUACACGUUUGUUAACCGUUUAUCAUUAUUUUUUAUUUUUAUUUUUACCUACAAAUAUUGUGUACCAUUGAUUAAAUCCAAUGGUGCACAAUUAAAAACAUUAUUGAUACUGUAAAAAAAUUACAGCAUCAUAGGGGAACCCAUAUAUAUAUAUAUAUAUAUAAGGUGCGAGCACCCUCAUUUAUUUUAAUGCGGACAUGCUAUUAAGUUGUACGAUUUUAUAGAGUUAUUUUUCAAUGUAUUAUAAAGUCAUGCAGUUUAAUAGUGUUUUUCAUUGAUUUAAUUAAGCUGUAUGGCCUAACAACAUGUAUGCAUUAAAAAAAAAAAAAAAGUGAGCACCCGCACUAGAGAAGGAUUUUCAAUGUUCUAUAAAGCUGUGCGGUUUAGCAGUGAUCUUCACAGACUCUAUUAAACUGCAUGGCUUAAUAACAUGUCUGCAUGAAAAAAAUAAAGGCACCUGCUCUAGAGAAUCACUACACACACACACACAAAUAAGCUUUUAAUAAGUCGAAAUUUUAGUAUUUUCAAGUUUAAUAUUACUAAUAUUUUAUUUUGAUUUGAUUAAUUUUAUUUAUUUUACUUUAAUGACUUAAACCUAAUGAUUGCUUACUAAACUUGUGUUUUUAUUUGUUUAAUUGUUAAUGGUAAUUAUCCAAAAUUUACUUAUUAAUAUUGUUGACAAUACUUGUAUAUUGAUCAAAGGAUAGAGCAAGGCAUUCAUCAUAGUGAUGACAAUUUUCCUACAACAGAAACAUUUUAUAUUAGAUUGACAUAUUUUGUGUAUUUGUUUUAAUGUAGAAACUUUAAUUUCUCAUUUACAUUGAUAAAAUCUAAAAUUGAGUAUUUUUAUGUGGAUUUUUAAGCUACUACUAUAACUUUGUAGUUUGAAUUAUAUAAUUUAAAUUUUUAUAUAUUAUUGAAAGUACUCUUUUAAUAUUUGUGAGUUUAAAUUUAAAUCCCGUUUAAAUCCCACAAGCAAGGGUGGCCAACAGGCCGUGCCAGCACGUUAAGUAAUGGCCCACAAGGGCCUGGCACGGCCAAUGGUACGAGGGGCUCGUGCCGUGCCCAAAAAAGUCCAUCAACUUUUUUUUUCCUUUAAGCUCAUAUGUCCAUCGUGCCUAAAAGUUCACGUGUCUGACGUGCUUUAUUAAGGCCCACGUGUUUGUCGUGUUUUUUUAAGCUCAUCAGCUUAAUAAUAAUAAUUUUAUUAAGAGAACAAUUAACAUUUUAUUAUCAAUUUAUCAGAAUUUCAUGACUAUAUAUUUAAUUUCACAAUAACCAAUCAUAAUACAACAAUACAUAAAUUUAAUUUCAUAGAUCAUAAUAAUGAUUAAUUAAAAUUAAUAUUAUAAUUCUGGAAUAACAAUUACAAGAAGUCACAACUACGAGAUAUUAAUUAUAACAAAUCAUAGGUCACAACUUAUCAUAAAAAUAUUUCAUUCAUAAUUUUAUUUUUUGUGUAUAAAUACGAAAAAUAUUUCAUUAUGAAACAUAUCUCUAUUAACUCUUAGCUAAGUUAUGAUUUCAUAAAUGAAAUAUUAAUUUUGUAAAUUUUUUAUUUAUCAUUUAUAAAAUCAUGAUAUUUAUAAUUUUAUUUAUUAAAAUCAUUAUAUUUAUUUAUUCAUUUAACAAGUAUUUUUUCAUAACCCUUUCAUCUGGUUACCCGCCUUUUGUUUAAUAUAUUCAUUGGACCGUUGCACCUGUACUCUAUUUCAGUUUAACUUCGUUCCCGUUCGUUGGAUUUAAAAAUCGCAUAUCUAAUGAUCCAAAACGGCAGGCUGUUUGUUACAGAUAUUGUAACAUAGGCGCUGCCAUAUAUAUGGGAUAAUGGUCCUCUACGAUAUUUACAUGCUACACAGCUAGCUAGCCUCUAGUCUUUUGUCACUAAUUAUUACUUAUUAAAAAAUUCAUUGUUAAUUUGUCAUGAAAAUAUAUAUGGGUCAUAAUCCUCUUCUAAUCUAAUUUUUUGAAGGUUUGCAGGAGAUUAACACCUUUGUAAUUUUCAGUUUUGUAUGGAUAAGUUUUUUAAAAUAAAUUUUAGGCCAUGUAGCAUUAGUCAAAAUAAUGGGUUUUGACUUUUGUGGACUAUAAAAUUCAUUUACCUGAACUAGGUUUUGUAUUAAAUUUUAUCAACUAUUUUUAUAUAUACUUCAUUAAUUUAAAUCAAUAUAUACACAUUUGGCUACUUUUGGCGAUAAUUGGCUCUACCAACAGAUGCCAAAACCAAUCUCAUGCUUUCUAUAUUUAAAACUUAUAAGUUUCAAAUCUACACAAAGAAUAAAUUUUAAUACAUAAAUUAACCCUUAAAAAACUCAUAUGCUAUCAUAGAUCAAGAUUUCCAUGGAAAUAAAAUUACCACAUAUUUACAAUUCUGACAGCAAUAUUAGGCAUCCUAAUAUGAAAGUCUAAAUUUGAAUAUCAACUGAUCAUGUGAUAUGAAAUACUAACUAGGCAACCCAAGAGGGGGGUGAAUUGGGAUUUUAAAAUUUAAGCUGAGCAAAUCACACAACAAUUUAAUCAAAUGUUUUAAUAGAAUCAAAAACAAUAAAUUCAAUAAAGCACAAUAAUAAAAGAGUAAGGGAAGAGAGAGCAAACACAAUUAUUUUUACAUGGUUCGGCAAUCCUCGCCUACGUCCACGCCUCCAAGCUCACCCGGCUUGAGGAUUUCACUAUCCAAGCCUCCCAAUGCUUCAAAAACACUUAUAAUUGACUUCAAAUGUGUCAAUCAACCUUUACACCAAGAGAUUAUCCUCAAUCUCUUAACCCAAGUGUAUCCCAACACUUACAAUCACUCAAAACAAAGAUUACAAAUGUGUUUUUCUCUCACACAAAAUAUAUGAUUACAAAUAUAUGCUCAAUGUGUGAAUAAAUUAAUCAAGAACGAAUUUAAAGUUCAAUAAAUGUUGUAUUCUCGAUUAUAAGCUCAAUGAUAAUGUUGUGAUCCACCUUUGUUUGAAUUUGAAUGAACUUAUUUAUAGUUGGAGCUGAAAACUAGCCGUUAUAAACUUUCUGCGCGAAAUCGGAUCGCCGUUAACUGUUAUCGGUUAACCGUUUUGAUUGGUCCAAGUGACCGUUGGGCUGAAUUUCAAAUAAUCGAUUAACCGUUUGGAAUUAUCGAAUCGCCGUUAAUUUCUAGAAUCCUGUAAAAAUAAAUUUGGCUUAACCGUUCUUACUAAACGAUUCAAGGUUAGCAAUUUGGAAAUAAUCGGUUCACCGUUUUCCGUAAACAGUUCAUCGUUAUUUUUCAGAGUCAUCAUUUUAACAAUACUUUGCAGCACAUGCUUUCUGGAAAUUAUCGGUUAGCCGUUUGCUACAGUGAAAUUAUUUUCUAAGAUUAUAGUUUUGCCCCAAAACUUUCUAUAAUUAUACUAUGGCCCAAAUCGUCAUAAAACUUUACAAAUAAGUCCAUUUCCAGAGUUUCAAAACUUUUUCAAUUUAGACCAUUAAUUGAAAACAACCAAUUUCAUAAAAUCAUUUUUCCAUUAAGUAUAAAACCUUUAUAUUAUGAAAAUAAUGAUUUAUUUAAAAUAAUUUGAGCUUUUAAAAACUUAAUCAUUCUUAAUCUUGUUUGUUAUCAUCAAAAUUAACAUUAUGGAUACAUAUAUACUAACAUGAUAUUCAUUCAUUCAAUGAUGAUUAAGCAGUUUUAUAAAAUAUGAAAUCCAUCAUUCAAUAAAUAAGUGACGCAUGCAUUGGGGCUUAACUCGGGACUUAAAUGUUAGAAUCCUUAACUUUAUUGAUAAUAUGAUGGAAAUAAAACUAACAAAAGUCUAUGUAUUUGGGUGGAAACUGGAAAUAGAAUACUUUCACACAAAAGUUAAAACUAAAAGAAAGUGCUAAGAUAGAAAAGUGGGUGUUAACCGGAGAGGAAGUAGAAGCUUCCUCCCCGCUGAAGUAUAUAGAUGCUUUUGCUGUGAAGCAAAGAUGAGCACAGAGAGAGACGGAAAGAUAAAAGUAGCUUCUACUUCUUAUAAGAUUCCACUUAAUUUUGCACAAAUAACUAUCAGGCAACUAAUUCAAAUAAGUGAAGCUCUCAAGGACGAAUAUACCAAUAAAACAUAAUUUUUUUUUUUCACUGCAAUAUGAAGACAUCAUUGCUGGUUUGACUUAAUAAAGUUUAAAGCAGUCAAGUACAAGGAUUCGAACAAAGUCCUACAUGGAAUAUAAACCAACAGAAAUUGCCAUAAACAGCAUAUAAAUAACGACCUUCGAGAUAUGAUAAAACUCACUCACCUGGACGCUUGUAUGAGUGAUCAAUGAGGCUCAUGUUCCAGAACUGUCCUGCAUUGCAAUUCUUGGAGGGAUGCCCCAAGGUCUUCUCAAGCUAGGAGAGCCUACCUUGUAAUUUGUUGUAUGGAAUGCGGGCCCAGCCAAUUCUGCACAAAAAAUUAUUUCUAGGGCUUUUGACCUGAUUAUAAUAAUAAGUAAUUGCGUAAACAUCUUUGCAUGCAUGCAUUCUAGAACCAUUAGUGAUUGGCGAAGAACCCGCGAACUCUGUCGUUUGGAAAUCUUACCGACUGGUAUUUCCUUCUGGUAUUUGAUUUCAAAUACUCUAUACAGUACCCAAUAAGCUGUUGCAUUAUAAUGCAGCAUAACUCUAAAUAAAGAAACGAAAGCAGCUCCAGCUUCAGCUUUAUAUCUUAACUUUCCUUUAAUUUCUCCCACACCGCCCACUGUUGGUGUAUCAUUUUUCCAACAUGUAUCAAGAGAUGAGUGAGAAGUUAUAUGGGCCAGUGUGCAUUACUGGAGCCCUUAUGAUUCCAUUAGCCCAUUAUUAUUAUUCAUGUGGAUUUAAUUUUAUCAAUUAUUAAUGAAAUUAAUCCAAUCUGAAAAGUUAUUUUAUGAUAGAUUUAUUCUAUUAAUUGGACAAACAACUAUCAGCCAACUAAUCUCAAAUAAUGAGCGAGGCUUUAUGCUUCAAAGCAAUUCUACUCCUAAGUUUUAGUACUUUUUAUUUCAAUAUGAAGACUUAAUUGGUUUGAGUUACUGUAAGCAAGUUUUUGUUUAUGCUUAGAUUUUAUGGACUAAUUAGGAUAUUUUGUUUUCUGACGCUUAAGUUUGUAUGCUAAAAUGAUUGGUUGAAAUAUACACAUAACAAGUAUUGAAUAGAAAAGGAAUAGUGCUCUAGAAGCGUCCAAGACUUUUUAAUAAAAUAAGGCAACAUUCACAAUAAGUACUAAAACAUAACAUAAUAUAUUAGUGUAAAAAUUGUAAAAAAUGCUUUUUAACUAAUUAAAUGUGGCGAUACUCAUAGUAAGCAUUAAAACAUAACAAUUAUUAAAGGUCAUGUCACUUCCCAAUACGUCUUUGUUUGACUUAGCCACAUAAAUUUCACUUCAGAGAAAGAUAAUGGACUAAAAAUUAAAUUUGGGCUAUGUCCUCUCCUUUCAAAACAAGAAGCUACCUUAAUUUAAGGUAGAAUUUUUUAUAUUUUGCAAGUGCAAAUUGACCUAAAAAUUAUUAAAUGUCAGCAAUCAACAUACUAUAAAUUGGAAUGCAAUGCAUGAAAAUAAAUAAGAAACACGAAACCAUCCGAACAAAUCUUGAGACACUUAAUUAGCAAAAGUAUUAGCAGCAUCAUUACUCCCUAUGAUACCAUUACGUAUAAUGUCGAGUUAUAAUGUCGAGUUAUAUUGUGACGUAUUAUAUCUUUAGUGGUUUAUCAAUGGUUAAGAUUAAACCUCCUACUUGUACAGUUCUAGAUCAAGAGCAUAAUAUAAGCGCAUAAUCACAACAUGCACUUACAAAUUAAAACCAAGUGUUCUGUGCAUGCAUUGCAUGCAUAUUGAAAUAAUUAUGGAUGACUUCCAAGAGGUGCCUAUGGCUAUGGAGACGACGCGAAGGCAAUAGAUAAUCUUUUAUGUGACCUGCUGUAUGAUCAAUGGGUGGAUAUUUACGAAGAAGCAAUAUGCAGCGGCAUAUGUACAACGUUAAUGGUGCGUUUACUUCAUGGCAUGGGAAUGCGGUGGAAUGAAAAUAGAAUGUGAAUGAGAAUUGACUGGAAUAUGAAUGAGGAAUGAAAAUGAGAUUUCAAUGUUUACUUGGCAAAAAUAAAUGAAAAUGGGAAUGUGGUGAAAUGUCAUUGACGUGUUUACUUGGCAAAAUAAAUAGGAAUGAGAAUCAAUUUACUAAAAUACCCAUAGUGUUAAAUAAUGUAAUUUUUAUUAACUAGAUACAUGUAUAAAUAUUAGGGAAAUUAUCAUUCGUAUACCCUAUAUUUGUUCUGUUAUCAAAAAUACUACAACACUUUGAGGGUGUAUCAAUCGUUCACCCUAAGUUGACGAAAUGUAUCAGCCGACCACCAAACUGUUAAUUGCCAUUUGAAAGUUAACGGAAUUACAGUGAAUUGAGGAUUUUACCCUUGAAAAUUAUCACUUGUAUACCCUUAAAUUCUUUUUUUAUCACUUGUAUACCCUUAAAUUAUCACUUGUAUCAUAUGAAAAGACCAGAUUACCCUUCUGGCGUUAUCAUAUUUAAAUGGCAACUAAUGAUACAUUUUGUCAACUUAGGGUGGACGAUUGAUACACCCUCAAAGUGUUGUAGUAUUUUUGAUAAUGGAGUAAACUAAGGGUAUACAAAUGAUAAUUUCCCUAAAUAUUAUUAGUAAAAUGAUGUUAAUUAAAAUAAUAAUAAUAAUAAAUGCUAAUAAUGAUGAUAAUAAUAAUAAUAAUAACAAUAAUAAUAAUAAUCAUUAAUAAUAACUAAAAUAAUAAAGUUAAUAAAAUUUAAUAAUAAUAAUGACAUUUAAAAUAAUAAAUUAAUUGUGAUUUGAACAAGGGUAAUUCAAGAAAUAUAAAAAAAUUAGAGGAAUAUAAAAGUAAACAUGGUUUCAUUCUCAUUCCCUCAUUCACAUUCCCAACCUCCCCAUGGGAAUAGAAUUUUCAUUCCUUAUUUUCAAAUUAUGUGGGACCUACAUAUUUUAUUCCUAUUAUUAAAUUACAUUUUGCCAAGUAAACAUAGGUAUUAUUCACAUUUCUUCAUUCUCAUCCCCUAAACCCUUAAGUAAACACACCAUAAAAGAAACAAUAGCUGCUUCGUCUUCACUUCUCCCUCAUUUCUAUAGAUCCUUUAAUUACUUCAAUUUUGAAGUAUCCACUGGGUCGUCCUCUCUUUGAGAUCGUGCAAAUUUGAAGUUAUAUAUAGAUGUUUAUAUAGGCCAAUUAAUUGCAUCCAGCCAUCCAUGCAUUCCAUUCAAAAACAUGAAGCACAAAUCUUAGAUAUUUUGGUUGAAGUUCCAACCCAAAAAUAACGCCGAGUACAAGAAAUGUUGGAAACCACGGCUACUUUUGGAAUUGUACUACUGUUGUACGAAUAAAAAGUUAAUUAAUGAUAUUAUGAUUAUUUUGAUAAAAUAAUAAAAAUCAAACAAUUGUAUAUAGUAUAAAAUCACCUUAGUUUCUAUAUUAAGUAUUUAUUAAACACUUUAAAGAUACAAUUAAGUGAUCAUAUUUAGAUCUGAACUCACUUGAACUUUUAAAAAUAUCAUGUCAUAGGUAUUUUUGUAUUUGGUAGUAGUACAUGAGUAUAAGAUUUAACUCUUUUUAUUUAUUUAUUAACUACCAAUAACCACUUGAAUUUUUGUUCAAUAUAAAAUUAGAUCAUGAAAGAACCAUGAUGCAGCCAUAACUCCUCAACAACACUAUAGCAUAUAGGUUGGUAUUUCAAAAUACCAAUAUCUUAACCUUAAAGUGGUAACAAACUCAUGAAAUGAAUAUCCACGCCCAGGAGUCCAAGACCAAUUGAUUAUCCCAUAUCAGAAACCUCUUGCAAAGUGAUUAAUAAUGCAACCUAAUGCUACUUUUUAUUAUGUUGCUAGAUAUUGACUGUAUUACUUUAUAUAAUAUAAUGCAGUAUACAAACAACAUGUCAAAAGCAACUUCAAUGUCUAAACGAUGUUAUAAAACUUUAAGAUCAAUUUAGUAUUACUGUUCAAAUAGCGAUUUUGCGCAUUUAUUCUGGGAAAAUGUCUUUUGUGUUCUUAGAGUAUUGCUCAUUCACUAUUUACGUGACAAGUUCUAAGAAAAUGUGUUUUGUGUUCUUAGAGUAUUGCUUCUUCACCAUUCAGUCUUGUCACAUGAAUAUAAAUAUUAUCAUAAUUCAUUGAAGCAUACGUAUUAAAAAGAAUGGAAAAGUAGCACCCAAGACUUCUCCGCAUUCUAGAAGCAUUUUCCCUUUGCACAUGACACGUGCUGCCCACAUACAUAAACACACAACAAAGGCAUCAUAUAAAAUUUGAGGGUAUUUUUGGAAUUCAGAAAAAAAGUGUCUUUCUGGGCUCUGUUGGGCUAAAAAUAUUUUACCUCAAAAUUGGGAAGAGUUCCAGCUUAGAACACCUCUUCAAAAUUUUGUUUUUUGUUUUUAAAUAUCCUUUUUUAUUUAUGAAAUACAAACUUAAAUAUUAAAAUUAACGUCUUUCCAUAAAAUUUCACCCUUAAAAAAAGUAUUUUUUCUAUUUAUAAAAUACAAAAAAAUCCUAAAAUUUUUAAUUUUUUUCAUUUUUUUAUAUGAUUUCUAUCUCUAUAAAUUAAAUUCUUAUAAUUUUUUUAAAAUAUAUACAGCAUAGGGGUAAAAUAUUUGUUAAAAUAAUAACUUAUUUAAGUGGUUAAAUAAGGUGUCUAUUUAGUAUAGGUUAUCUAAUGAUUAUAAGUACUUAUUUAAUUCCAUAAACUCUUUCCAAUUUUUUUUUUGUUGUUUAGUUGUUUUUAUAGUAGAGUUUUUAAAAAUUAAAUAAAUUAUUUUACCUCUACUAGUAAAAUCUUAAAUUUUAGACUUUUGAAAGUAGAGAUUAAAAAGUUUAUUUAAAAUGUCAAAAUAUCUAAAAUGAACUUGUUUGAUAAUGUUAUUUCAUUCUUUUUAUAAUUUAACUUUUAAAAAGCUUGUAUGUUAGAAUAAUCUUAUAAUUUUUUAGAAAAGCUUUCAUUGAUAACCAAAUAAUUAAUUUAUUUUUGUGAAAGUUCUACUAAUUAAAGUCUAUUUAAAUAAAUUUUUAUUUGAAAAGUUAUGAGAAACCGGCUGAAAUUCUAUUCAAAAUAAGAAAUGAAUUAAUUUAACAUUAUUUAUUUAAAUAAUUUAUGUGAAACAAACAGUGUUUUACAAGGGAUUUUAAGGGCUGUGAAUAAACGACCCAAUUUGAAAACUAAUAGCCCGAAAUAUGAAAUAAAAACAAGGCAUCCUAAAAACAAAAUUUUUAAACAAAUUUGAAGGCUGCUGCUGCUGCUGCUGACACAUUCAUCAACCCUUUAUCUUGCCACCGCCAAGGGUUCCAGCCGUGUUAUUUGUUAUAAUAAUAUUGCCGGCAAUUGUCAUUCAUCAUCAUCACUUUCUUUUAAUCCCCUUUAGUAUCUAUCAGCCACCAGCAUAUAUAGCAUCCGUCGAUUAGGGUUUCAUCAUCAAAACGACCAAAUGGGGAAGAACGAAAAGACAGGACUCGGAAGAGCCCUAGUGAAGCACCACAAUCACAUGAUCCAAGAAACCAAAGAAAAGGGAAAAUUCUACAGGAAGCAACACAAGAACGUUCUUGAAUCCGUCACCGACGUCAACGACAUCGACGCCGUCAUUCAACAGGCCGAGGAAGCCGAGGCCUACCCCGUCCCUAUCCCCCUCAUCAAUUUGUGAGUUCCUCCUUCUCUUUUCUUUUUUCUUUUUUUCAUUAAUCAAUAAAUGAAAUUAUAAAGUUUAAUCUAAUUUUUAUAAUAAUAAUAAUAAUAAUAAUAAUGGGUAUUUAGAGAUGAGGGGUCCAGGAGUAGUACCAGAGAGAUGAUGAUGACGGCGGAGGAGAGGAAGGAGGAGGAGGCGUUACAUGCUGGCAACCUUAGAGUGCCACGUAGGCCGCCGUGGAAUCCUUCAAUGUCUGUGGAGGAGCUUGAUGAUAAUGAGAGACAAGCUUUUUUAGCUUGGCGGCGGAGUCUUGCCAGGUUAGCUCUGUUUACAAUCGGCCUUUUUUUUAAUAAUUGAUUUUUAAUUCUUAUUUUUGUUUAUGCGGAG
rnacentral:lncRNA from 1 species